CCUACGGGGGGCAGCAGUGAGGAAUAUUGGUCAAUGGGCUUACGCCUGAACCAGCCAAGUCGCGUGAGGGAAGACUGCCCUAUGGGUUGUAAACCUCUUUUGUCAGGGAGCAAUUUGCGCUACGUGUAGCGUUAUCGAGAGUACCUGAAGUAAAAGCAUCGGCUAACUCCGUGCCAGCAGCCGCGGUAAUACGGAGGAUGCGAGCGUUAUCCGGAUUUAUUGGGUUUAAAGGGUGCGUAGGCGGACUGUAAAGUCAGCGGUAAAAUCGAGAGGCUCAACCUCUUUCCGCCGUUGAAACUGUCGGUCUUGAGUGGGCGAGAAGUAUGCGGAAUGCGUGGUGUAGCGGUGAAAUGCAUAGAUAUCACGCAGAACUCCGAUUGCGAAGGCAGCAUACCGGCGCCCGACUGACGCUGAGGCACGAAAGCGUGGGUAUCGAACAGGAUUAGAUACCCUAGUAGUC
rnacentral:rRNA from 1 species